UACGUAGGGUGCAAGCGUUGUCCGGAAUCAUUGGGCGUAAAGAGCGUGUAGGCGGCCCGAUAAGUCCGCUGUGAAAGUCCAGGGCUCAACCCUGGAAUGCCGGUGGAUACUGUCGGGCUAGAGUCCGGAAGAGGAGAGUGGAAUUCCCGGUGUAGCGGUGAAAUGCGCAGAUAUCGGGAAGAACACCCGUGGCGAAGGCGGCUCUCUGGGACGGUACUGACGGCUGAGACGCGAAAAGCGUGGGGGAGCCGAACAGG
rnacentral:rRNA from 1 species